rnacentral:rRNA from 1 species
UACGGAGGGGGCGAGCGUUAUUCGGAAUUAUUGGGCGUAAAGGGCGCGUAGGCGGCUGAACAAGUCAAAGGUGAAAUCCCUCGGCUCAACUGAGGAACUGCCUUUGAAACUGUUCGGCUUGAGGCCGGGAGGGGGUAGCGGAAUUCCCAGUGUAGCGGUGAAAUGCGUAGAUAUUGGGAGGAACACCAGUGGCGAAGGCGGCUCGCUGGACCGGUUCUGACGCUGAGGCGCGAAAGCGUGGGGAGCAAACGGG